ACUUCUUCUCGCACCACCCGGAGAGCUUGCACAUGUUCACUUUUCUCUUUGAUGACAUUGGUGUUCCUUUGAACUACCGUCACAUGGAUGGCUCUGGUGUCCAUACUUUCACGCUCAUCAGCAGGGAAGGGAAAGCUACCUACGUUAAGUUCCACUGGAGACCUACAUGUGGAGUCAAGAGUUUGCUGGAGGAAGAGGCUGUGAUUGUAGGAGGCAAUAACCACAGCCAUGCCACCCAGGAUCUCUAUGACUCCAUCGCUGCUGGGAACUAUCCAGAGUGGAAGCUAUUCAUCCAGACCAUGGACCCUGAUCACGAGGAUAGGUUCGAUUUUGACCCACUUGAUGUCACCAAGACAUGGCCGGAAGACAUCUUUCCUCUUCAGCCGGUUGGGCGCAUGGUCCUGAAUAAGAACAUCGACAACUUCUUCGGAGAAAACGAGCAGCUUGCCUUCUGCCCCGCACUUGUGGUUCCUGGAGUCUAUUACUCGGAUGAUAAGCUUCUUCAGACCAGAAUCUUCUCCUACUCUGAUACCCAGAGGCACCGUCUCGGACCCAACUAUCUGAUGCUUCCGGUGAAUGCUCC
rnacentral:lncRNA from 1 species